UUGCUUCAGCAGCACAUAUGCUAAAAUUGGAACAAUACGAAGAAGAUUAUCAUGCCCCUGAGCACGGAUGGUAUGCAAAUUCGUGAAGCAUUCCAUAUUUAU